CGGGAGGUGGCCUCUCAAGGCAGGGAUCUCGGUGCCUCUGCACGCCUGGCACGGCGGCCGACACUCGAAUCAGUGAUCAGAACAAAAGGUUACUAGCAGGGCUGCAUGAUCUACUAUGAAGGAAAAGGAAGCAAGAAAAACCACUAAGCACUUCAAGGGUACUCAGGAGGUCUUGACUCCUCACUCCUUUGCAUUUUUUAUUUGCCAUCUAAGCAAUGUAUAACCUUCCUCAGAAGUCUGUUGCAAAUGCAUUACCUCAUCAUGUCUUGACAAGAAGAUGCUUGCUUGUAAGAAGCAAAAAAUGGCUUUCUUCAAAGGAUGUAGAAGUAGGAUAAGAAAGUGAGCAUGAGAACCUGAAGCAGGCUUUUGUUCUUGCUGUCUCCGAGUCUUGGCGCAGAAUCAAGUAACAGAUUUCAAGAAGUUGGAAGCAUGAUCUACUUAUUCUGG
rnacentral:lncRNA from 1 species